rnacentral:rRNA from 1 species
ACCUAGGCUUGACAUGUGGUGAGUAGCGUACCGAAAGGGGAGCGACCCGUCGAAAUCGGGCCAUCACACAGGUGCUGCAUGGCUGUCGUCAGCUCGUGCCGUGAGGUGUUGGGUUCAGUCCCGCAACGAGCGCAACCCUCGCCCUUUGUUGCCAUCGGGUAAAGCCGGGCACUCUAAGGGGACUGCCAGCGACAAGUUGGAGGAAGGAGAGGAUGACGUCAAGUCAUCAUGGCCUUUAUGCCUAGGGCCACACACGUGCAACAAUGGCCGGUACAGACGGAGGCAAUGCCGAGAGGCGGAGCAAACCCGAGAAAAACCGGUCC